GGAUACAGUACCACAAUGAUAUAAAUGGCAUAGGAUCCUGUAUGAAAACUUGAAGAUGCAAAAAAACAAUGUAUCUUAAGGAGGAAAGGAGAUAGGAGCUUGAACUACUUGAGGAGACAAAUCCAAUAUUCUUUUCAUGUUUCCAUUUGUCAUGGAAAGAUAGAGCUCAUAGAGUUUUUAAGAGACGGAAGAAAGGGAUACCUGUGAAGCUCUGUCCUGGAUCAAGCCAUUUGAAAUCAUUGAACUAUUGGAUUAUUGUUUUUCCCCUCCCAGUUUCGGUAGAAAAUGUGGCUCUGGACACCCUAAUGGAAUUAUAUACAUGGAUAAUUAAGAAAAAUGUCUGAAUUUUCACCUCCUGUUUUACACACACACCUUUUGAGUACAGUGAGGAAAGUGUUACUUAUUUGUCUACGUAUUAACAGUGUGAGAACAGAUAAGCUCAUAUUUGGAAGUGGCACCACUCUCACAGUUGAACCAAAAAAUCGAGAAGAUGCUAAACCAGAAGUCGUUGCGAUUAAAUCGAAGAAAGCCAAGGAAGGAAAGAAUGUGAAUGCUGUGUGUUUGGCAAGGAAUUUCUAUCCAAAGAACAUCAGUUUGGAAGUAUCUUCAAAUGAAGUUGUAUAUGAACAGAAUGAACCCAUUGUGACAUCUGAGGGGACGUACAGUACUAUUAAAGUGGUUCAGGUGACACCAGAGACAGAGGUGACUUGCAAGGCCAAGUUCAAAAACAUGACUUUUGCAGACAAUGGAACAUCAUCUGCAGAAAAGGAGAUUGAAGAACCAGUAACAGUGAAUGUUUGCAACAUCACAGACACGUCUACAAAAGGUAUCAAAACAGAGAAAGUGAACAUGCUGUCCAUGGCUGUGCUGGGUUUGAGAGUCCUGCUGGCAAAAAGCAUCGCCUUCAAUACGCUCAUGAGUAUCAAGUUGUUUCUUUUCUGAGGCCAGAGCACCUCAAGUUUUAUCAGAAGCACCCAGGAAAUCUCUCACUGACUGUUUCAAGUGGCAGAGCACAAAGCCUGGAGAAAAACCAAAGUGAAUGAGUCGUCAAAAGUGAGGCUUCUCAAAACUAAACAUGUGAAGGAGUGAGAAAAAGGGAGUAAGAGAGAGAUUUUUUUUAAAAGUCAAUGUACCAGAAGUAGCAAAAUGAAAAGUAGAAAAGUAGAAAAAUGGUCUAACCUAAGCUUUGUGAGUCUACCUCUCUAACAGCAAUCAAAUGGUGUCACAUAGGCCCAUCUGCCUUAAAUGUGGGUAAGACUUUAAAACACACUUUGUCCUUCCAGGUGUUGAGGAAGAUUGCCAUCAAUAGUCUAAGGAACAGAAGGAGAGAGUGUAUACCCUCAGCAAUUUCAACAGCAUAGGCCAAAUCUACUGACAAUAAGUAUUGAGAGCACAACUCUGCACCUUCCCCUGGGUCCCUAUAGAUUUAUCAGUCCCUUCACUUUGUCAUGUGGCUUUCCAGCUAAUGCUAUCUGGAAGUUUUCUUAGGCAUAUUAUACUGUUGCAUCCUGCUUAGCUAGUUUCUGUCGUUGUAAAAAUAAUUGUAGCUGCUUUUGCUGUUUCUUUUUCCCAGUGAACGGAAGAGUGUGUAUUUUCCUUAUCUCUCUCCUAAGUAGAAAUUGAUAUCCCCACUCCUCUGAACAUUGCAUAGAAGCAACAAAAUUGCUUUGGUAGUUUUGAAAAAUCAGAAUUUCACUAUAGAUUCACGACCCUUUUAAAACCCUGUCUAUAGGCAAAUUACACCACUUACUGUAGAGAUGUUUUACAGCUUAGAGCAUUCAGGCACAGUAGAUAUCAUUUAGUGUUAAUGGUUUUUAGAUAGCUUCAAUAAUAAUAAUUUUCUAGUGUAAACGCAAAGAUCUGUGUUGUGAAGAUCCUUGAAGUGAUUCACUUCAAACAGAUAAUAUUAAACCACAGCAACACUUUAAUUUGUAUUUCUUUACCAUGUGUCUCUUUUACAAAAUGUAUGACUCCUGCGUUUUGGGUUUACCCAAAAUAAAG